rnacentral:rRNA from 1 species
CCUCAGACAUGCAAGUCGAACGAGAAAGUUCCCUUCGGGGGGCGAGUAAAGUGGCGCACGGGUGAGUAACACGUAGGUAAUCUACCUUCGGGUGGGGAAUAACGCAGGGAAACUUGCGCUAACACCGCAUAAUGCAGCGGCACCACAUGGUGACAGUUGUUAAAGCGGGGGAUUUUAGGACCUCGCGCCUGAAGAGGAGCCUGCGGCAGAUUAGCUAGUUGGUAGGGUAACGGCUUACCAAGGCGACGAUCUGUAACCGGCCUGAGAGGGCGGUCGGUCACACUGACACUGACAUACGGGUCAGACUCCUACGGGAGGCAGCAGUCGGGAAUUUUGGGCAAUGGGCGAAAGCCUGACCCAGCAACGCCGCGUGAAGGAUGAAAUCCCUCGGGAUGUAAACUUCGCAAGAAUGGGAAGAAUGAGUAGGGGCUAAUACUCCCUAUGAUGACGGUACCAUUUGUAAGCUCCGGCUAACUCCGUGCCAGCAGCCGCGGUAAUACGGGGGGAGCAAGCGUUGUUCGGAUUUACUGGGCGUAAAGGGCGCGUAGGCGGUCAGCACAAGUCAGUUGUGAAAUCUCCGGGCUUAACUCGGAAAGGUCAACUGAUACUGUGCGACUAGAGUGCAGAAGGGGCAACUGGAAUUCUCGGUGUAGCGGUGAAAUGCGUAGAUAUCGAGAGGAACACCUGCGGCGAAGGCGGGUUGCUGGGCUGACACUGACGCUGAUGCGCGAAAGCCAGGGGAGCGAACGGGAUUAGAUACCCCGGUAGUCCUGGCCUUAAACGAUGGAUGCUUGGUGUCUGGAGUUUUAUAGUCUCCGGGUG